GACGAACGCUGGCGGCGUGCUUAACACAUGCAAGUCGAACGGAAAGACCCGGCUUUUGUGGGGUUCUCGAUUGGCGCACGCGUGUGUGUCACACGUGUAACCUCCCCCUAACUUUCGGGUAUCUUCUCGGAACUGGGGCUAAUACCGGGUAGGAGCUCUUGCUGCAUGGUGGGGAUUGGAGAGUUUCGGCGGUUGGGGAUGUACUAGCGGCUUAUCAGCUUGUUGGUGGGGUAGUUGCUUACCCAGGCUUUGACGGGUAGCCGGCCUGAGAGGGUGACAGGCCACACUGGGACUGAGAGAAGGCCCAGACUGCUACGGGAGGCAGCAGGGGGGAAUAUUGCAGAAGGGGCGGAAGCCUGAUGCAGCAACGCCGCGUGCGGGAUGACGGUCUUCGGGUUGUAAACCGCUUUCGCCUGUGACGAAGCGUGAGUGAAGGUAAUGGGUAAAGAAGCACCGGCUAACUACGUG
rnacentral:rRNA from 1 species